rnacentral:rRNA from 1 species
UACAGAGGUCCCAAGCGUUGUUCGGAUUCAUUGGGCGUAAAGGGUGCGUAGGCGGUUCGUCGCGUUGGCUGUGAAAACCCGGAGCUCAACUCCGGGCCUGCAGUCGAUACGGGCGGACUUGAGUGUUGCAGGGGAGACUGGAAUUCCUGGUGUAGCGGUGAAAUGCGCAGAUAUCAGGAGGAACACCGGUGGCGAAGGCGGGUCUCUGGGCAACUACUGACGCUGAGGAGCGAAAGCGUGGGGAGCGAACAGG